AAAUCUCAACCUCCUUGGUUUCUUCUGGAGACCAAAAGGAGGCUUGGACUUUGGAGGCAUUUGCUGGCAUCUUCUCUCCUUUGAAGGUCAGCUCCUCUUAAAUGAAUUAGCGGGCUCCUCUUUGCCAAUCCUUGACAUGUGAUAAGAUGCUUCCAUGCCUUGGUUUCUGGCUCUGUUGCUUCUGGGACCCGCUUCUAACCGUCUUGACCUUGCAUCGAGACAAUGUUCGAGCUCGUCUCCCUUCUCGGGGAGACACUCUCGACCCCACAAAC
rnacentral:misc_RNA from 1 species